CUAUGGUAUCGUUUAGUUCGAGCGACUUUUGCUUUAGUCGUUUCUGCUCUUUAGACCACGCGCCAAUAUCGAAGUGCACGGCCAUAAGUUUAAAAUUCUAGAGAAAGUCCCUCGUGUAAAUUCCUGAAAAUAAGACCAAAUCUUAUGAAUUAUGUAUGAAUAUGAUCUUGAAAUACUGGCAAACAAAGCCCUCGUUUUAAA